rnacentral:rRNA from 1 species
UACAGAGGGGCAAGCGUUGUUCGGAAUUACUGGGCGUAAAGGGCGCGUAGGCGGCCACCGCAAGUCAGUUGUGAAAUCUCUGGGCUUAACCCAGAAAGGUCAACUGAUACUGCGGGCUAGAGUGCAGAAGAGGCAAGUGGAAUUCCCGGUGUAGCGGUGAAAUGCGCAGAUAUCGGGAGGAACACCAAUGGCGAAGGCAGCUUGCUGGGACGGUACUGACGCUGAGGCGCGAAAGCGUGGGAGCGAACAGG